rnacentral:rRNA from 1 species
AUUGAACGCUGGCGGCGUGCUUAACACAUGCAAGUCGAACGAUGAACCCGGAGCUUGCUCCGGCGGAUUAGUGGCGAACGGGUGAGUAACACGUGAGUAACCUGCCCUUGACUCUGGGAUAACUGCUAGAAAUGGUAGCUAAUACCGGAUACGACCCUCGGUGGCAUCACCAGGGGGUGGAAAGAAUUUCGGUCAAGGAUGGACUCGCGGCCUAUCAGCUAGUUGGUGAGGUAACGGCUCACCAAGGCGACGACGGGUAGCCGGCCUGAGAGGGUGACCGGCCACACUGGGACUGAGACACGGCCCAGACUCCUACGGGAGGCAGCAGUGGGGAAUAUUGCACAAUGGGCGCAAGCCUGAUGCAGCAACGCCGCGUGAGGGAUGACGGCCUUCGGGUUGUAAACCUCUUUUAGUAGGGAAGAAGCGAAAGUGACGGUACCUGCAGAAAAAGCACCGGCUAACUACGUGCCAGCCGCCGCCGUAA